rnacentral:misc_RNA from 1 species
GAUGAAGACGUAGCGAAAUGCGAUACGUAAUGUGAAUUGCAGAAUUCAGUGAAUCAUCGAGUCUUUGAAUGCACAUUGCGCCCCCUGGUAUUCCGGGGGGCAUGCCUGUCCGAGCGUCAUUGCUGCCCUCAAGCACGGCUUGUGUGUUGGGCCUCCGUCCUCCUCCCGGGGGACGGGCCCGAAAGGCAGCGGCGGCACCGCGUCCGGUCCUCGAGCGUAUGGGGCUUCGUCACCCGCUCUUGUAGGCCCGGCCGGCGCUUGCCGACACAUCAAUCUUUUUUCCAGGUUGACCUCGGAUCAGGUAGGGAUACCCGCUGAACUUAAGCAUAUCAAUAAGCGGAGGA